UACGGAGGGUGCAAGCGUUAUCCGGAUUUACUGGGUUUAAAGGGUGCGUAGGCGGGCCCUUAAGUCAGUGGUGAAAGCUCCGAGCUUAACUCGGAAACUGCCAUUGAUACUAUAGGUCUUGAAUUCUGUUGAGGUAGGCGGAAUAUAUCAUGUAGCGGUGAAAUGCUUAGAUAUGAUAUAGAACACCGAUUGCGAAGGCAGCUUGCUAAACAAAUAUUGACGCUGAGGCACGAAAGCGUGGGGAUCAAACAGG
rnacentral:rRNA from 1 species